CCUACGGGUGGCUGCAGUGAGGAAUAUUGGUCAAUGGACGAGAGUCUGAUCCAGCCAAGUAGCGUGAAGGAUGACUGCCCUAUGGGUUGUAAACUCUUUUUAUAAAGGAAUAAAACGUGGCACGUGUGCCUUUGCGCAUGUACUUUAUGAAUAAGAAUCGGCUAACCCCGCUCCAGCAGCCGCGGUAAUACGGAGGAUCCGAGCGUUAUCCGGAUUUAUUGGGUUUAAAGGGAGCGUAGAUGGGUUGUUAAGUCAGUUGUGAAAGUUUGCGGCUCAACCGUAAAAUUGCAAUUGAUACUGGCAGUCUUGAGUACAGUAGAGGUAAGCAGAAUUCGUGGUGUAGCGGUGAAAUGCUUAGAUAUCACGAAGAACACCGAUUGCGAAGGCAGCUUACUAAACUGAGACUGACAUUGAUGUGCGAAAGUGUGGGGAGCAAACAGGAUUAGAUACCCUUGUAGUC
rnacentral:rRNA from 1 species